rnacentral:rRNA from 1 species
UACGUAGGGCGCAAGCGUUAUCCGGAAUUAUUGGGCGUAAAGAGCUCGUAGGCGGCCUGUUGCGUCCGCUGUGAAAUCCCGGGGCUUAACCCCGGGCGUGCAGUGGAUACGGGCAGGCUGGAGGCAGGCAGGGGAGAACGGAAUUCCCGGUGUAGCGGUGAAAUGCGCAGAUAUCGGGAGGAACACCGGUGGCGAAGGCGGUUCUCUGGGCCUGUACUGACGCUGAGGAGCGAAAGCGUGGGGAGCGAACAGG